rnacentral:rRNA from 2 species
UCUUCGGAGAGUUUGAUCCUGGCUCAGGAUGAACGCUGGCGGCGUGCCUAAUACAUGCAAGUCGAGCGAACUGAUUAGAAGCUUGCUUCUAUGACGUUAGCG